rnacentral:pre_miRNA from 14 species
ACCCACGAUACCGUUCUGUGUGCUCCCCGAUCCCUGAGACCCUAACUUGUGAUGUUACCCACAAUUCACAGGUUAGUUGCUCAGGUACUGGGUGGCAUAAACGAGCUACAGGAAGUUUC